GAUCGGGAGAAUGCCUCAAUUCUAUCCCAGGAUGAGAAACCGCUUCUCUCCAUUGUCGGUGCGGUUAUCACUUUUAGAGAUAUUAGCGAACGCCUUGCUGUGGAACGGAUGAAAGAUGAAUUCAUUUCGGUAGUCAGUCACGAAUUGCGAACACCUUUAACAGCAAUUCGGGGGUCGCUG
rnacentral:misc_RNA from 1 species